rnacentral:rRNA from 1 species
GACGAACGCUGGCGGCGUGCUUAACACAUGCAAGUCGAACGAGAAUCUGUGGAUCGAGGAUUCGUCCAAGUGAAGCAGAGGACAGUGGCGGACGGGUGAGUAACGCGUGAGGAACCUGCCUUUCAGAGGGGGACAACAGUUGGAAACGACUGCUAAUACCGCAUGAUACGUUUUAGGGGCAUCCCUGAGACGUCAAAGAUUUAUCGCUGAAAGAUGGCCCCGCGUCUGAUUAGCUGGUUGGUGAGGUAACGGCCCACCAAGGCGACGAUCAGUAGCCGGACUGAGAGGUUGACCGGCCACAUUGGGACUGAGAUACGGCCCAGACUCCUACGGGAGGCAGCAGUGGGGAAUAUUGGGCAAUGGGCGCAAGCCUGACCCAGCAACGCCGCGUGAAGGAAGAAGGCUUUCGGGGUUGUAAAGGCUCUAUCAGCAGGGAAGAAAAUGACGGUACCUGACUAAGAAGCCCGGCUAACUACGUG